CUUUGUGGAUGAUCUUCUCCAGUUGGAGGUCAUUCUGGAUCACUAUCCGGGCAACUCAGGGAUCUAAGGGAAAAGAAAAAGAGUCACUCAAGUCUUCUUUCUCUGUAUUCCAUUCGCCAGGCACGCACAAGCACAGCGUGGAUUUAAGAGAGGAGACAAGCCAAGGAGCAGUUGUGCACGCACAUAGCCCGGUGCACCUAUUCAGCACCAUUGAGGUAGACUAGCCCUGCAAAGACUGGGGUCCCCAAGAAUGCAUGGUAUUGCUCAAAUUGAUUGCAUUAACGAUUGUCUGAUCAAGCCAAUCCUGGCAAACUGAACUGCCAAAGAACCAGAGCGCUUUAUUAUAGAAGGUCCAUGGUUUUAUAAGGGAAAGACAAGCCAUACCAGAGAGCAUGAAAUAUGGACCCGGGGUAGUUAUUCGAUUCUGAAAAUCCUCUGCUAAGGUGGAGGCUUGGUGUCCGAGGAGCACCGCUGACAACCUGAGUCCCUUAUCCGUGUGUGCUAAGGACAGUAAUAUAUCCUUGCCAUCCACCUCUCUUUCUCUGGGCUCAGCCCCACAGUUUUCUUCAGUUAGAAUGUGGUAUUAUAAAGUUACAGGUCCCCAUCAAUCGUCUUCACAGUAUUUUGUUAUCUUUAGGUCUAGUGUAUUAGAUUUCAUUUGAUUCAAAAUUCAGUUCAAACAGCUUUAAGGAAUAAGAAAAUGAGAAAGGAAAUUAGUUGGCUCAAAUAGCUUUGAAGGCCAGGAAAAGUAUACCAUUCAAGUGUGACUUGAUCUGGGGACUGAGGACAUUCUAAGAUCUAGUCUCAUCCAUGGUGACCACGUCAUCAGAAGCCAUAUUGAAUCAAAGCAGAUGUUAACUUCUACAGGGUUUAAGACCAGCAAGAAAAUGAGAGUUUGUCGUCUUGGGCCUGACUUCAUUUCUAUUUCUGAACUAAAUACCAUCUUCAGGAGAAUCUCUUACCCUGACCAGAAAGAAAUCACAUUCCAUCCCCAUACCCCCAUGUAAUUGGGCUGGAUUCAGAAGAAAUGGAGAGAAUUGGGGUGAGAGGUGAGAUGAUGCUGUUGGGAAAGAGAAACAGAAGCAGAAUGGCAGGAAGCCACAGAAACCUAAAGUUUAUUCUCUCUCCAGUCUCCUACAUUCAGAGGCCCCUGCUAGCCUCUUCUCUUCUCAACGUGUCUGAUUUGUCCCGGUUUCAAUCCUGCCGGGUAGAAUUGAGAGAUGUCUGGAAGUCUUCUAAACCAGAAAACAGGUCUUCUGCUCUGAGCUCAACAUGCUCCCUGAAGACUCACCUCAGAGGAUCAACAAGAACCGGACGAGGCAGCAGGUCUGUUUCUGUUUUGACCUAUGUAUCAUGGUUUCAAAGAAUUAAGCUAAUUUUCAAUUGCUAUACAAAAAUUACUAGGGACUUGGAGGGCACCUCAAGUGUGCGUCACCUGACUAUUAUAAACAAGGCUCUGGCUUGGCUCCUCACGAGAAGAAAUAAGAAAGAAAAAGUGUCAGUCAUGAAUUUGGGAGUAACUUAAAAAGCAGAAAAGCAUGAAGAAGAAAGUGUGCCUCACCCUGGUUCCCACCCCAACCGCACCCCCUAAAAGCUAAGCAUUUGGAUUUGGACUUCUGGUAAACCUCAAGCUUACUUGCCAGAUAAAAGUAUUUACUCCCAGGAUGAGAAGUACUGAAGUGUCCUAACUACUAAAGGUUUCAUGCCCUAAAGUUUAAUGCAUGUUCUGAGAAUGUCUUGAAACAAGGCAAGUUUUAAAGUUAGGCAAAUCACAUUCCAAAUAACAUUCCUGGUACAUUUUUGUUUCACUAACAGAUACCUACCAAUUCAGGCUAGUAAACCUGUAAAUUUUUGGCAGCGGGUGCAUCUGGAGGGGGCAGGUGGGGAGAUCAUGGCUCAGUGGGUAAGAGCACUUCCUUGUGCAAGCAUGAAGACACCCCAUCAUCUUUCUGACCUCUUCAUAAAUGCACAUUUAUGUGUUUUCGGAAACUUUGGCCCCAGCAACGAGCAGGUGAUUUGGUGUCAGUUUUGAUGUGUAGGGCAGAGGGGUUUGGGCAAUGCUGGAAAAGCCCAGAGAUUCCUUCCACCUCAAAUGUAAGCUACCAACGCCUACAAGUGAUUAAUCACCGAUCCUCCCCUGGGUGAAGAGCACUGUCCGUUACAUUGCUCCUUAUUAUAAGAUACGAGGUGUUAGAGAGAUGGCAGGAACCAAACUGAAAGUCUGUAAAGUGAAUUGCAGAGAAUUCUCAAAACUAAUCCUGUAUCCUGUGAUGAUUAAUUUUGCUUGUCACCUUGGUUGGAUCUAGAAUCAAUUAAAUGGCAGGUCUUUUCAAGGGUACUCUUUUUUUUUUUUUUAACUUCUAAUUGUUUUAAGACAGGGUCUCACUAUGUAGUCCUGGAUGGCUUGGAAUUCACUAUGCAGACCAAAUUAUAUAUAAAUAAAAAGGUUUCCCAGAGGCAUCAGUUCAUGGUUGCUUCCUCUUGUUGCCUUUGUGCUAGAAGCAAGACAAAGGACACUUGGUGGUAGGAAUAUAGAGAGACGAGAGCUACUCGGCCAUGCUGAGCGAUGCACCGUGACCAGCUGUCUCAAGCCCCCGAUGCAGCAACUUCCCUACAAUAACCGAUGGUAACCCGGAACUGGGAGUGGAACUAUUUUCUCAACAGCAGGAGAAACUAAGCACAGGGAACAAGUCCCAGGAGGGCGAGCAGCACCCCUGACCAUCACCAGAGGAAAUUCAAACAAAGCGUUUUCAUUUCCUAUCCGUUUGUUCGGAAGAUCAGUUUUUCCUCUUCAAGUUAAUACUGUUUCCUUUACUAAAGUAAGAUUCUUAUUGUGUAAAAAUUAACCACUUCAGAACAUAUAAUUCAGUAGCGUUCAGUGCACUUGCAAUACUGUAAACCCACCUCUCUCCGGUUAUAAAGUAUUUUCAUCCCA
rnacentral:sRNA from 1 species